CUAUAGCCUGGUUUUCUGCGAAAUCUGUUUAUAGCAAAUUAUUUAUUUUAUUAUUAGUAGGUAUAGCACUGAAUAUUUUUUUUUCCAAAAAAGGGAGAAUAAAUUAACUAACCAAAAAAAUUAAACCCCAAAAGGGCAAAAAAGUAAGGAAAAAAACCGAACUUUUGGCAAAAAGGAAAAAAGCCAAAGGGGAAACACCCCAAAACAGAAAAAAAAAAAGAAGGGCCCCCCAUUAAAUUUAAGGGGAAAAACCCAAACACCNGNNUUUUUCGUGNUUCUGC
rnacentral:rRNA from 1 species